rnacentral:pre_miRNA from 1 species
CUAGUACUCCCUCCGUUCCAAAUUACUCGUCGCAGAAAUUGAUGUAUCUAGAACUAAAAUACAUCUAGAUACAUCCAUUUCUGCGACGAGUAAUUCGGAACGGAGGGAGUAUUUG